rnacentral:rRNA from 4 species
UUAUCGGAGAGUUUGAUCCUGGCUCAGGACGAACGCUGGCGGCGUGCCUAAUACAUGCAAGUCGAGCGGACAGAUGGGAGCUUGCUCCCUGAUGUUAG